GCAAGGAACAAGAGGAACGGUUAAUGUGAUUUCAGAGCAAGUCACCAAUGUGAAAAUAAAUUAAAACAUUCCUCAAACCCAUGGUCUUAUAUAAGGGAGAUGUUCAAAAUUACCGGUGUAAAAAAGUGCUGGCUUUCAAGAAUUCGCCAUCAAAUCUGAGAAAUCACAAACAGCUGCUCCAAAAACUCAGAGAAUACAACAAAACCAAAAGCUUGAGUGACACCACCAGAAGGAAGAUGAUCAAGAUUCUUGCUGCAGAUAUGACUGAAAAGCACAGAUGAACAGUGUAGAGAAGCAGUUUCCCUCCAAAACACACCUUAGAAGUGGACA